AGAUUUUGGCUCCACAUGUAGCUUCCUAAACUCUUCUGGCAUAAGACUUGUAUACGAGCAAGAUCUUUCAUCUGCAUGUUUCCCAGUAGAUGCAGCUGCAUCUAAGGAUGUAGCUGGCCAAAGUUACAAAUCUUGCAUGCAAGAAGUGGAUUGAUGAUGACAGCCAAGAUUUGGGUGAAAAUUUUAUCGCCAGGCAUGCUGGAGUAGCUGACCAUUACAAUCAUCAUAGACAAGUCUUGUGCUUCAUACUCUCCUCGGUCUUGGUUGAUGACCAGUUGCGAAUUAUUAUAGAUCUUGAGACGUGUUACUCCGACAGCUCAAGCUAAUUUCAACCUAGUUUUCAGUGCCUUGUACCCCGCUUUAUUAUUGGAGUUCUUGAAAUUGAACCUUAGAUCAUACGCAGCGACGACAUCCCCAGAGCUAGAGGAUCUGUUGACAUGGCGUAUCCAGAAGGAUAGUGCCUUCGACUUGCUCUGCUCACCCUCGACCUCAGUCUCUACUUUUGCCUUGGCCUCAGCUUCCAGUACAGUACACUCAACGAUGAAGUCAGCGAGUGUAUGUAUCCUGAUGGUAGGCCUAGGUUGGUAGUUUAUAUCAAAUUUUCUAAGCUUAAUGGCCUAUUUGAUCAGGCAACUAGAAGUUUUUAAUUUCUACAGUACCUGCCUUAAUGGCUGGUCAGUCAUUA
rnacentral:lncRNA from 1 species